rnacentral:tRNA from 1 species
CCCGCCCGGGGCGCCGUGGCAGCGCUUGUACUUCUUGCCCGAGCCGCAGUAGCAGGGAGCGUUACGGGACGGGCCGUUCGACUCGGCCUGGCCGGAC